CCUACGGGAGGCAGCAGUGGGGAAUCUUUCACAAUGGGCGCGAGCCUGAAGGAGCCACGCCGCGUGCAGGAUGACGGCCUUCGGGUUGGAAACUGCUUUUAUAAGCGAGAUAUAGGAUGGUAACUUAUGAAUAAGGAUCGUCUAACUACGUGCCAGCAGCCGCGGUCAUACGUAGGAUCCGAGAAUUAUCCGGAGUGACUGGGUGUAAAGAGUUGCGUAGGUGGCAUAAUAAGUAGCUAGUGAAAUCUGGUGGCUUAACCAGUCAGACUAUUAUCUAAACUGUUAAGCUCGAGAACGUUAGGGGUAACUGGAAUUCGUAGUGUAGGAGUGAAAUGCGUAGAUAUUAGAAGGAACACCAAUAGCGUAGGCAGGUUACUGGGACGGUUCUGACACUAAGGCACGAAAGCGUAGGGAGCAAACGGGAUUAGAUACCCCGGUAGUC
rnacentral:rRNA from 1 species